GAGAGUUAAACAGUACGUGAAAUUGUUGAAAGGGAAACGAUUGAAGCCAGUCGUACCUUCGGGUAAUCAGCCUUUCGGGUGUGAUUCUGUGGAGUGUGAGGAGCUUAAACACCUUCAUGUUUUGCAUAUUCGUACUCUUGGGUGUACUUGCCCGUGUGGUUGGUUAACAUCAAUUUUGGUGGUCAUAAAAUGACUGGAGGAAUGUAGCUUCGAUCUUGUAUUGAAGUGUUAUAGCCUUCGGUAGAUGUGAUGAUCGAGAUUGAGGAUUGCAACGGAUACCCUUCGGGGCUACCUGUCUGGUCUCUGAAGGUUGCUCCGGUGCCGAAAGCGUGCUUACGGUCAUCGAAAGUGAUUUUCAAAAGGUUAGAGCGGGUUAAAUUCGUUAAGGAUGUUGACGUAAUGGCUUUAAACGA
rnacentral:rRNA from 1 species